GGAGAGUUGGCAGAGUGGUAAUGCAGCGGAUUGCUAAUCCGUCAACACCUUUAAAGUGUUGCAUGAGUUCAAAUCUCAUACUCUCCG
rnacentral:tRNA from 1 species